GUGGAGGAUCUAUCGGUUUUGUGAGGAAAGAAAAGAUGAGAGCCAACAGUAGUGCAGUUUCCACCAGGACCCUGUUGGCCAAAAGUACUGGAGGCAGUCAUUAACCUGGCUCUCGACUGAUCUGGUUCUGUUUUCCCUUCCUGUGUGUUAUCUGAAGCUUUUCUGAGCCACAAGUACAGAAACAUAUCGCUGAUGAUGAGAUGGGGUCCUUCUACCGCUCCGGCAGGCGUCGUGACACAUGCCCUGACUUUUAAUGACCUGCCUGCUCCUUCAGGGGAGCGCACGGGGAACAGACUGGAAUCCAAAGAAUAUCCAGUAUUUCUGAAUGUCAUCAAAACUAAACAGCAAAAUCCUUGAAGGUCUUUAAAAGGAAUGUAUGUCAAGCCCAACAGAAGCAGCUGUGAAUGUUGAAGAGCUAUCUACACGUUUUAUGCUAGAAAAGGAGAAAUGGCGGGCGUUCGUUUGAGUGCAACCAUGUGGCUUCUCUCUUUGUGUGCACGUCUUUCUCCUCAGUGUGCAUCUGCCUCAAAGGUGGAGCAUGUUUCAGAUUGGUUGGUGGUUUGAGGCCCAGAUCCAACACUUCUUGUUUGCAGUGGCAGCAGGCACAACCUUUUUCCAGACAGAUCCUUAUCCACACACGCCCUAACACAUAGACAUACAUCGACACAGACUUUGAGAAGCCGAACUCGUGUGCACCAUAAUCUGCACUCUCCGCUGGGUUUGUGUGAGUGUGUAUAUGCAUAUAUAUGUAUUGUGAAUCUGUGUGUGCAUGUUCGUGAACAUUUCUCUUUGAAUCUUUGUGUGUGCGCGAAUCCUGUCUGGCUGCAUAGAGGGGCUGAGGUGAGUGAUUGCCUUGUUUCUGUGGGCGGCAAGCUGUGGCGGUUUGCUCUCACUGUAAAUUUAGAAGAAUUCUUAAUGGAACUCCAGAGCUGUCAGACCUCAAAGUGUUGUACCUUUUUUUUUCCCCGAUGGAAAGAGCGAUGACUAGAUCCUCUGUAUACAACCUGAUUCUGAAAGUCAGAAGGAAGAAAGACAUUAGUUAAUGCAUAUGUGUUGUGGAAAAAAUACCACAGUGCCACAAAUUCUGCUGUAAACUGCAUAAUUGAAGCAAUGGGAGGUGGGAAAAUAGCCCACAGUUUGUUAGUCUCAUACUCUUUAACCAUCAGUUAAAGUAAUUAAAUAGAUUAAGUGGUGCAACUUAAUCUAUUUAAAUUUGAAAAUAUUGUUCUUUUUUCCAUUUUCUGACUUUUUGAGUUAUUGAUCGUUUUUGAUUAAAU
ensembl:lncRNA